GUAGUUGACUCCGUGGCUCAGGACGACGCUGGCGGCGUGCUUAACACAUGCAAGUCGAACGCUGAAGCUCUGCCCUUGUGGUGGGGUGGAUGAGUGGCGAACGGGUGAGUAACACGUGGGUAAUCUGCCCCAUACUCUGGGAUAACCCCUGGAAACGGGGGCUAAUACCGGAUAGGACAUUCUGCCGCAUGGUGGGGUGUGGAAAGUUCCGGCGGUAUGGGAUGGGCCCGCGGCCUAUCAGCUUGUUGGUGGGGUAAUGGCCUACCAAGGCGACGACGGGUAGCCGGCCUGAGAGGGUGACCGGCCACACUGGGACUGAGACACGGCCCAGACUCCUACGGGAGGCAGCAGUGGGGAAUCUUGCGCAAUGGGCGAAAGCCUGACGCAGCAACGCCGCGUGGGGGAUGAAGGCCUUCGGGUUGUAAACCUCUUUCACCAUCGACGAAGCCCUUUGGGGUGACGGUAGGUGGGGAAGAAGCACCGGCUAACUACGUG
rnacentral:rRNA from 1 species